UACGUAGGGUGCAAGCGUUGUCCGGAAUUAUUGGGCGUAAAGAGCUCGUAGGCGGCUUGUCGCGUCGACUGUGAAAACCCGUGGCUCAACCAUGUGGUCUGCAGUCGAUACGGGCAGGCUAGAAUUCGGUUGGGGAGACUGGAAUUCCUGGUGUAGCGGUGAAAUGCGCAGAUAUCAGGAGGAACACCGGUGGCGAAGGCGGGUCUCUGGGCCGAUAUUGACGCUGAGGAGCGAAAGCGUGGGGAGCGAACAGG
rnacentral:rRNA from 1 species